rnacentral:rRNA from 1 species
AACGAACGCUGGCGGCAUGCCUAACACAUGCAAGUCGAACGAGACCUUCGGGUCUAGUGGCGCAGGUGUACGUAACACUUGGGAACUUGCCCUUAAGUUCGCUAUAACUCACCGGAAGGGAUGCUAAUACCGGAUAAUGUCUUCGGACAAAGCGUUAUCGGCUUUGUAAGGGGCCUCGUCAGAUUAGCCAGUUGGGAGGGUAAAAGCCUAACAAGGCGACGAAGCAUAGCAUGACGGGGAAGAUGAUCAUUCAAAAUGGGACUGAGACACGGCCCACAAUCAGACGGGAGGGAGCAGUGGGGAAUAUUGGAAAAUGGGCGAGAGUCUGAUCCAGCAGUGACGCGUGGGUCAUGAAGGUCUUAGUGUUGUAAAGUCCUUUUACCCGGGAUGAUAAUGACAGUAACGGGAGAAGAAGCACCGGCUAACUCCGUG